AGUUCGAUUAUGGCUCAGAUUGAACGCUGGCAGGAUGCUUUACACAUGCAAGUCGAACGGCGGCACGGACUUCCGGUCUGGUGGCAGUGGCGAACGGGUGGGUAAUGUAUCGGAACGUGCCUAGUAGCGGGGGAUAACUACGCGAAAGCAUCGCUAAUGCAGCAUACGCCCUUCGAAGGAAAGCAGGGGCGCUAGGGCCUCGCACUAUUAGAGCAGCCGAUAUCGGAUUAGCUAGUUGGUGGGGUAACGGCUCACCAAGGCGGCGGUCCGUAGCUGGUUUGAGAAGGACGACUGACCACACUGGGACUGGUUACGGCCCAGACUCCUACGGGAGAGCAGCGGUGAAAUUUUGGACAAUGGAAACCCUGAUCAGCCAUCCCGCGUGUACGAUGAAGGCCUUCGGGUUGUAAAGCACUGGCAGGAAAAACGGCACGGGAUAUGCCCGUGCAACUGACGACACCUGCAGAUAAGCACCGGCUAACUACGUGCCAGCAGCCGCGGUAAUACGUAGGGUGCAAGCGUUAAUCGGAAUUACUGGGCGUAAAGCGUGCGCAGGCGGUUCGGAAGAAAGAUGUGAAAUCCCAGAGCUUAACUUUGAACUGCAUUUUUAACUACCGAGCUGAGAGUGUGUCAGAGGAGAUUUGAUUCCGCGUGUAGCAGUGAAAUGCGUAGAUAUGCCGGAAGACACCGAUGGCGAAGGCAGCCUCCUGGGAUAACACUGACGCUCAUGCACGAAAGCGUGGGAGCAAACAGGAUUAGAUACCCUGGUAGUCCACGCCCUAAACGAUGUCAACUAGCUGUUGGGGCCUUCGGGCCUUGGUAGCGCAGCUAACGCGUGAAGUUGACCGCCUGGGAUGGGUCGCAGGAAUUAAAACUCAAAGGAAUUGACGGGGACCCGCACAAGCGGUGGAUGAUGUGGAUUAAUUCGAUGCAACGCGAAAAACCUUACCUACCCUUGACAUGUCUGGAAUCCCGAAGAGAUUUGGGAGUGCUCGCAAGAGAACCGGAACACAGGUGCUGCAUGGCUGUCGUCGGCUCGUGUCGCGAGAUGUUGGGUUAAGUCCCGCAACAGGCGCAACCCUUGCGCCAUUAGUUACUACGAAAGGGCACUCUAAUGAGACUGCCGGUGACAAACCGGAGGAAGGUGGGGAUGACGUCAAGUCCUCAUGGCCCUUAUGGGUAGGGCUUCAUCAUGCAAUGAAUUAAGACGAAGUUAUGUAACCCGCGAGGGGGCCAAUCCCAGAAACCCGAUCGUAGUCCGGAUCAUGAUCUGCAAACUCGACUGCGUGAAGUCGGAAUCGCCCAGUAAUCGCGGAUCAGCAUGUCGCGGUGAAUACGUUCCCGGGUCUUGUACACCGCCCGUCACACCAUGGGAGCAGUUUUGAAGUAGUUAGCCUAACCGUAAGGAGGGCGAUUACCACGGUAGGAUGUGGCUGGGGUGAAGUCGUAACAAGGUAA
rnacentral:rRNA from 1 species